rnacentral:rRNA from 1 species
GAUGAACGCUGGCGGCGUGCCUAAUACAUGCAAGUCGAACGAACAGAUGAGGCGCUUGCUCCGCUGUCGUUAGCGGAGGACGGGUGAGUAACACGUGGAUACCCUCCCUGUAAGACUGGGAUAACUUCGGGACACCGGCGCUUAUACCGGAUGAUAUAUUGCAGCGCAUGGUUCGAUAGUGAGAGACGGUUUUGCUGGAUCUACUCGCUGCAUCUGCGCCGCAUUAGCUAGUUGGUGCGGUCACAGCUUAUCAGGGCGAGUAUGCGUAGCCGAGCUGAGGGGGUGGUCGGCCACACUGGAACUGAGACACGGUCCAUACUCCUACGGGAGGCCGCAGAAGGGAAUCGUCCGCAGUGGGCGGAAGCCUGACGGAGCAGCGCCGCGUGAGUGAUGAAGGUGUUCCGAUCGUAAAACUCUGUUAUGAGGGAAGAACAAAUGUGUAAGUAACUAUGCACGUCUUGACGGUACCUAAUCAGAAAGCCACGGCUAACUACGUG